rnacentral:lncRNA from 1 species
UGCCAGGCCGUGGGGGUCAGUGGGUGACUUGGCCAAAGAUGCUACCCCUGGCUUCUUCGAUGCUGCAGGGACCAGGCCUGUGUCCAGUUAGGCUGAGUUGAACCCUGUGACCAUUUUGAAAAAAGGGCUGUGGACAGAGUAAUAGAGAAUGUGUUCUGGAUACAGAAGCCAGGAAGUCAUCUCAGCUUUGAGGAGGGCUGGCCAGGGGCCAGAGUUCAGGGGAGCGCUGGCCCUGGGCUUGCCGAGCAUCCAAGCUCUCUAGGCCUGCCCUCGACCCCCCAAGCCCUUGUUCUCACCCCACCCCAAUCCACCCGUGGCCCCUCACCUUCCAUAGCUGCACACUCCUUAUUGUUCAGGAACAAAGGCAGUUCAGAUUUUUGAAAAAGAAGGAGAACAAAUAAACUCCGCGGAACUCAUCCUGCUUGUGCAGAAAACCUCAACCAAGCCACCCAACCCCAGUGAGUAACAGAGACCAGGACUUGGCCUGGGCAGGGGUGGGGCAGGUCCGCUGGGCUUGGAGUGACCACAGCUGCCUCACUCUGGAGAGGCACCACUACCUGGAAGGACAACAAUAAUGCUCUUCACUACCCUGCUGGUCAUCCCUGCCUCCUGGCACUCAAGCUGUCUGUGGGCAUUACCUCUUGGAGGCCAUCACUUUCCCUUGGGAUCAAGCAGCACCAUCCCAGGUGGAGUGAGGAGAAACAGAGGCAACCAACGCAACAGAAGUUGCCAAGAAGGGAGGACCCAGAGAGGAGCUGCCGUGGCCUGUGUGCCAAACAUCUGUCACCUCAGCCGAUGCCUAGAUGCUGUGAAUGCCAAACCUAGGAUCUUGCUUCUUUGAUCUGCUCCUUCAGUGUCUCUCCAAAAGGGUCCUAGGAUCUUGACCUCGGCCCAGCUGAGGCUGACUCCUCCUCCCUGGACCCUGGGAUGGUGGUGUGUUGAGGGCAGGCAGGCACUGGCUUGCUGUCCACUCUGGGCUGCCACACACCUUGCUGGCACCUGCCUGGCGCCCCAAGGGGCCUGGCCCAAGCCUCAUCUUUGCAGGACAGGACCUUGAUUCCCUGUUCCACCCCCACUCCCAUUCUGUGAACUUUUAUCACAUUAAUCAAACUCUCAAAGCAGCUAAGUAAUAGACUUCACCACAUUCACUUGAGAAUAAUAGAGACCAAAAUGCCAAUGUAUUAAUUACCUGCAGGAGCUCUGUAUUAGUCUGCUUGGGCUGCAAUAAGAAAAUACCACUUACUGAGGGGCUUAAGCGACAGAAAUUUUAUUUUCUCACAGUUCUGGAGACUAGAAGUCCAAGAUCAAGGUCUCUGCAGGGUUGGUUUCUUCGGAGGCCUCUUUCCUUGGCUUGUAGAUGAUUGCCUUCCCACUGUGUCCUGACACAAUCUUUCCUUUGUGCACACACACCCUGGUGUCUCUCUGUGUGUCUAAAUUCCCUCUUCUUAUGAGGACAACAGUCAGAUUGGAUUAAGCCCACCCUAAUAGCUUUAUUUUAACUCGAUUAUCUUUGUAAAGGCCCUAUCUCCAAAUAAGGUCACGUUCUGAGGUCCUGAGACUUCAACAUAUGAAUUUGAGGGGAACAAUUCAGCCCAUAAGUUCAGUCUGGAGUGAGUAAUGGGAUUGACCUUGGGCACAGAACUUCCUGAUGGGCAGACAGACCUACCCAGGAGCCUGGGCCCUGGGUCCAAAGAUUGCUUGGCCAUUUAAAGAGGACCACAGAAACUUUGAGGCUUCUCCUAUGGAGAAGUGGGGUCAGUUACCCCUUCCCUGAGUCUGGGCUGGGCCCAAGCUGCUUUGACUAAUGGAGGAUGGCAGAAGUGAUGCCAUGCCAGUGUCAGGCUUAGACUUUUCAAAGGCUCCUGCCUUGGUUCCUUGGAGCUCCAAGUCACCAUGUGAGAAGCUGGACCACACUGCUGGAGAGACCCCGUGGAAUGGUCACAAUGCUACAUGGAAAGGGAGAGAAGCCCUGCUGAGCCAGCCCUCCAGCCUCCCUUGCCAAGGCACCAGGCACAGGAGUGGGGCCAUCUUGGAUCCUCCAGACUAGAGCAGUUACUAGAUGAAUAUCAUCAAGUGACCCCAUUCAAUGCCAUGUGUUGCUGAAGAAUCACCCAACUGAGCCCUGCCCUAAUUCCUGACCCCCAUCAUCAUGAAAGAUAAUAAAAUGGCUGUUGUUUUAAGCCACUAGGUUUUAGGGUCCUCUGUGAUGCAGCAAGGGUUCACUGGAGGGUUUAGUAACUAUGGAAGUGAUAUAACAGGAGUUGGAUGAUGUUGAGGGAUAUUCUUGCCAGGCUGGUGAAGAAGGACUGGUGAGUCACUGUCCCCUCCACAGUGAGAGCAUGGCUGAGCAGGCUGGGCUGUCUGCUACCUUCCCAUCUGGGGUUAAGAGAGCAGGCAAUCUCUUUCUUCCCAAGCUCCAUCUUCAGGAAUCUGAGAAAGCCCUGGACUGGGCACUGUUGCCAUUCUGGAGGCUGUGAAGGGUCAGGAAAAGGCAGAGAAGAGGAACUGCCAUUUCUUAGCACCUCCAAUGAGCUUCUGAGUUCCUCAUGGGUGAGAUUCCCUUUAAUUUGCCCCGCUCUCCUGCCAGGAGGCCCAGUUCCAGCCAAGAUCCCAAACAACAGAUAGUGAGAACCUCUGCACAUGAGAGGGGGCCUUUGGGUGCUCCCACCCCAGACUCCCAGCUGCCCCAGCUGACACCGAGUGGAGGAGAAAGAAGCUGUCUCCAUCAUGCCCCAUUGAAAUUGCAGGUUGGUGAGCAAAAUA